rnacentral:rRNA from 1 species
GACGAACGCUGGCGGCGUGCUUAACACAUGCAAGUCGAACGGAAAGGCCCUGCUUUUGUGGGGGGCUCGAGUGGCGAACGGGUGAGUAACACGUGAGUAACCUGCCCUUGACUUUGGGAUAACUUCAGGAAACUGGGGCUAAUACCGGAUAGGAGCUCCUGCUGCAUGGUGGGGGUUGGAAGGUUUCGGCGGUUGGGGAUGGACUCGCGGCUUAUCAGCUUGUUGGUGGGGUAGUGGCUUACGAAGGCUUUGACGGGUAGCCGGCCUGAGAGGGUGACCGGCCACAUUGGGACUGAGAUACGGCCCAGACUCCUACGGGAGGCAGCAGUGGGGAAUAUUGCACAAUGGGCGGAAGCCUGAUGCAGCAACGCCGCGUGCGGGAUGACGGCCUUCGGGUUGUAAACCGCUUUCGCCUGUGACGAAGCGUGAGUGACGGUAAUGGGUAAAGAAGCACCGGCUAACUACGUG